rnacentral:rRNA from 1 species
UACGAAGGGGGCUAGCGUUGCUCGGAAUCACUGGGCGUAAAGCGCACGUAGGCGGAUUGCUAAGUCAGGGGUGAAAUCCUGGAGCUCAACUCCAGAACUGCCCUUGAUACUGGCGGUCUCGAGUCCGGGAGAGGUGAGUGGAACUGCGAGUGUAGAGGUGAAAUUCGUAGAUAUUCGCAAGAACACCAGUGGCGAAGGCGGCUCACUGGCCCGGUACUGACGCUGAGGUGCGAAAGCGUGGGUAGCAAACAGG